ACUACAGGCUGCUGACGUAGACCCUGCUGUCCUGGAGCUCCUCCUCACUCGGUCGACCCCGCGCGCGCACACAGCCCGCGUCCUCUUCGCCCCCGGCUCGGUCCUGCCCCGCGUCCCUGCAGUUCACAAAGGGUAAGAGGGCGCCAUUGGGGCUCUGUGGGGCGCCCCCGCUGAGGAUGUUGUCGGCCGCGCUCUCCAUCUCCUCUAUGGUCAUGUCGCAGGCGUCGGCCAGCUCCUGGGUGGUGACCUCGAUGAACUUGGGAUCUUGAGCAAACUGCCCCAGUCCUUCUGAAAUCAAGACCUGAAGGAGCGGGGUGGGAGCCAUGAAGAACCAAAGGAACAUUACUCCUGGAGCCCAGCUCUUCCCUUGAGGGCUAGAGCGAGGGGGUAUCUGAGAAACCAUUCUCCCUGGUGAAACUGCUGAGACAGGCCCACUGCCCAUUGCCUGCUGCUGCCUUUCCAGGGGUGAGGUAUCUGUGCAAACACGGCGCAUGCCCCUGCCUUGCUUCUGCUGGGAAGGGCCAGCAGGUGACCCUUAAGCUUCUCUGUCCUCCCUACCGGCUGCUUAGUGCCUGGCUAUGGGAAAAUCGGCUCCUGAGCCAGCGGGUCGGGGGAAGCUGAGUGCAGCCUGGCACUCGCUCCUUUCAGGCAUCUGUUUGUCUUGCUCCUUGCCCACGCCACUCAUUCUCUCCUUGCCCUGCUUAGUUUUUCUUUGGCACUCCUGACCUUCCUGAUGUGUUAU
ensembl:lncRNA CACNA1C-AS1 CACNA1C antisense RNA 1